CUGUUAAGAGAUGUUAAGGUGUACUUGCAUGCUGCUUAUGAAUGUUCUAUGAAUGCAUUAUGAAGGUGCCCUUAAUGAAAAGGGUUACCAUUUAUUUAUAGAAGUCUUAUCCUGGUCAUCGACUUAAGCUGAUCACCCACUGUUUAGGUUUAUAGUCAGAAGAAGACAAAGCAAUUCUGAUAGCAGCCGGUAAUAAUAAGCAAACUUUUCAUAUGUAACAAACUGAAGCCUUAAAGAUGCUCAGUCAAGCCCCUGUGUCACGCUGCUGUGUGGGGUGGUUUCGCCGCUAGUUGCCUGGAAACAGCAGAAUUCACAGACGUACAGAGACUUUGGAAUUAGGGUAAACAUUGAUAUUUGUAGGUGCGCUGCUCAUCAGGAGUUGAAUUGACCUGAUAUGGACUAAUUAAUUAUUAACGUUGGGUUAUCAGGGGCAAGCUUCAGUGGUCAGCGUAACAGUUAUCAGCCAUGGAAGUAUUUUUAGGUAUAGAUUUCUGCUGAAGACAGAUGACGUGACAGACAGAAAGACAUUUCGGGAAGCGAAAAGGCCGAAUUUGUGCUUCGUGUGCUGUGUAGUAAAACAGUGGAAUAUAAAACCUUAUUGAUCACUUGCCGAACUACAAAGACUGAGGAAAUCGCAGGACAAAGUGUGCGGCUCAGUAGCUGAGGCAUCUGGAGGACUGGGGCGGCCAGGCUGAGUACAUCUCCAACAAGAGUAAGGCCUUUAACCAUAAUGGUGCAUUCCAUUUGAACUGGGAAGUCAGAAUUUCAACUGGGACACCCCCUGAAGUCAGAGUUCCGGAAAGUCAGAAUUCAAUAUGGCUGCAGCCUUCAUCAGCAGAAGGAUAAGCUGUAGUUAUAUACUAUUUAUUAACACUAAUGUCUUAUUUUUGACUCAUUAAAUCGGUCAUAUACUCACAGUACUAUCCAGCUUUUAUCUAUGUGUUGUUAUGAUAUUUAUAUGUGCAAAAUACUGGGUAAUGUGUUGUCAUCAACUGGCUGUGCUAACAAUGAACCUGACUAGAACUGGUACUCAUAAAUGGUUUUCUGACUUCUUGGUUCUUGGUUAACUCUGGUCUGAUGUCAUUCCCAGCUCCAACCUCUGACAGCUCCAGGGUUGCUGGACACUAACUGAGCCUAAGCUUUCCUCAGUUGUAUGUCACUUUAGUAGACAACAUUUAUGCUACAAUAAUAUGUCUCUUAAGGGGGCAUUGGGCCAACAUAAAAAGAGGUUUGGUCGCCGUAGUGUGCAUUUUGUGGCUCGAGCAACAUUGUAUGUACGAGAGCCCCUGUUCUACGAUUUGCAGUUAUCCUGGUGGUCACAUGGUCUCUGGUAGCACUCUAGAAUCUACCCUUAUAUCAGAGGUGGGCAGUCUUAUCCAUAAAAAGUGUGAAUUGGUUGAAGAGUCCUCACACCUGCGUUUUAACAGCUGACCUAAAGGUUACCCCAAAAACCUGCACACACCGGCCCUUUGAGGUGGAGACUAGUCCCUGGUUUUAAAAGCCGUUCUCUGGGUUGCUGCUUUCCUUUAAAACUUAAGGGUGACCAAAAUUAAAGCCCGCAAUUUGACAUGCGGUUAGAUAUGUGAUGUAAGUGAAACAAUGGAGCGUUUAUCUUUGCUGGGCCGUUUCCAUGGACACAGGGAGGCCACACCCCCCAUCUGACUGUCAGUCAUGGUGCUGGGUUACCAAACAUCAUGCUCCAUACUGUAACCGGGGGGCAGUUGUAUGGGGUGACACAUCCGAUCAAGAGACCAUUUCUCGGAAGCCAUGACCUCGGAAGACAGGAAAUGUGACCUUUAUAUGGUUUAGUAAAUACCCUGUCUAUGGAGGAACAGUAGUUGAAUAAGUUUAGUACAUUUUAGGCCCUGUUGAAUGGGUUUAGUACAUUGUAGGCCCUGUUGAAUGGGUUUAGUACAUUUUAGGCCCUGUUGAAUGGGUUUAGUACAUUUUAGGCCCUGUUGAAUGGGUUUAGUACAUUUUAGGCCAUGCUGAAUGGGUUUAGUACAUUUUAGGCCCUGUUGAAUAGGUUUAGUACAUUUUAGGCCCUGUUGAAUGGGUUUAGUACAUUUUAGGCCCUGUUGAAUAGGUUUAGUACAUUUUAGGCCCUGCUGAAUGGGUUUAGUACAUUUUAGGCCCUGCUGAAUAGGUUUAGUACAUUUUAUGUCCUGUUCGGCUGGGAUUAGUUUUACUUAGGGUGGUUCGGUAUGACGUUUGUAAAGUGAUUUGACUGACUGAUUUGAAUGGGAUGAAAAACGUAAUUUAGCAUGUCCAUAAAGCAAAUAACAGAAUUUCCAUUUCUGGGUGAGCUAUCCCAUUAAAAUAGUAAACACAAUAAAAAGCAAAUCUUUUUUCCUUUCAACCAUACAGUAGCUUACAAAACGGUGUACUUAGUAGUGUUGUACUGCUCUACACCUACUAUAAACCAUGCUGCAGAUAAGGCUGUAAGUGUCGGUUGUUAGAUGUCUGUGGUUACCCCUUUACAGAUACGACCAGUUACCGAGAUGACAAGUCAAACUGGACUAAUAUUAGCGUGUUUGCUGAAAUACAGAAGCUCGCCUGAACACGGGCAGCAGCUAUUUUGACAGUCGCGACGGUGCCUUGGCAAACAAAAGGGGAGGGAGAUUAUGGAACGUUCGGGUUCUGCUGGACAUGAACCUGAGAAGAAACAGAGCAAAGGAAUGUUGUUUCUGGAUAGAAGUGCAAGUGCUUUGUACAACUUCAUGGAAACAGCAGCGUCUGCGCCUGUCCAAGCUGGCAAAGUCCGGCAUGAGCUCCUUCCCAGUGACAGGAAGCGAUGUUUGGGCAGAGCACAGAGACAACCACGUAACACAUCAUCGACAUGGUUAGGGGUCAAUGUACUCUGGUUGUUACAGCCCGAAACUGUCAGAUUCCAAUUCAGAUCAUGGGUGACAACCGCUUGACAGUGACCGCAUUCCCCUUUGUCUGUUCUCCACACCAUCCAUCUGUAACAUCACUUUAACUCAGAAAAGCAUUCAAAAUAAAAUGUUCUCUUUAUAAAUCACACUCUA